CCACAGCAAAAAAUGGCUUGGCUGAGACACACCAUUGGCUAAUUUGGACGUUCAUCCUGCUCAGGAAUGCUGAAGCUGGGAGAGAACAGCAGAAGUCGUUCAUCAAAAACAAUGCACACAGCUAAAUCUUCGUGCAGAUUACUCUUUCAAGAAAUUUCUUUUCCAUGUCCUUCACGUGUGUGAACUAAGUUAUGAGUUUUUCUUAAUUCAAGAUUGCCAAGAGCAAAGAAACUUUUCUCAGUGUUCCAAUUUAUAGAUUGCAUAUAAAAGGUUUCUUUUUACUUCUAGGUAUAUAUUUUGAUAACCAACGCAUCAGAAAUCCUACUCUUUGCAUUAUGUUCAUGGCCCAUCUCUAUUAAUCCUUAGGUAGCCUUUGCCCACCCAAGACCAAUUCCAAGAAACCACGAGGGGUUUAAACUAUUAACUUUUCGACUCGGGGACUUGAACAUAAGACCUUGGAGGAUGUCUCCUAACAUUCCGAGCCCUUACCAUCGAAGCCACCCUAGGGGUCUUUUUCUGUUUGUUUUAUCUUUGAAUUGCCAUUUAGAUAAUUGGGAGUAAACUAAUCAACCAUAUUCUGUGAAAAAUGGUUUAUAUUCUUUGAUUUGUAGUUAUAGCAAUUAACUAUUCCCAAGAAUAAGUUAUUGUGUGUCUGCGUGAACUUAUAUCUGAUUUAACAAUAGCUGCAGAUAAUGCAUCAAAGAUUGGAAUACUAAAGUAAACCAUUUUGUGAUUAAUUGGAAUAUCUAUGACAUAUUUCUAACUAUUAUUUCCUUUAAUCUCACUUUCCUGCUUGGAUACUUAGUUCCUCGAAUAUCUUUUAUUGUCCUUUCCUCUUCUUUUCCUCCUCCUUCCCAACGCAUUACUUGUCGGCAUAUAAAGCGAUGAGAUUACAUUACAAGAUAGUGCAUGCAAGCAUAUUCGUUUGCUUCAAAGCUUUCUCUUUCUCUCUCUCUCUUUUAAUAGGAUUGAAGUAUGGGCUGUGGUACACUUUUUACGUUAUUACCAUUUCCUGCGUGAGCUUUUUGUUAGUAACAUCAUUUAUCUCGUUUUGUCACCAGAGAUUUUGAAACUGUAGGAUAAGCUUUCGAUAUCCUACUUGUGUUAGCACAUUUCAUCCCUUUUGAAAACAAGACUGCCAAAUUUGUUGUCACCAUCAUCUGAUAUCGAACUGGGACUUUUUAGUGCUUGAUGGGUUUUCAAUUUUGAUCUUUGAUCUACUCAUUUUCAUGCUGUUGAAUGAAAAAAAAAAUUGUACUGUUGACAGUCUGAGACUCGAGUCCCAUCGAUUAGGAGAGAUGUGGAUGUCUUUUCAUCAUGGAUUUUUCUCAAAAUGAAGUCUUUCAGAAGAGAGAGAAGCUUUCUUGUAUGGUUAAUAAACAUCAAUAUAAAGUGCAGUGUUUUUUCUUGCACUCAAGACAACAUCCUUUUGAUAAAGGAGUGCUGCUGGCAAUAAAAAGGUUUUUGACCACAACUUUUGAAUUACUUUCUGUUUGCUGAGGGUUACAUUUGCAAUGGUUUAAGGAAAGGAAAGGAAAGGAAAACCUUUCAUCUUUGUUCAACCUUUUUUCCUUUUUCUCAUUUUUGAUAUGGGGAUUGGAGAAAAUGCCAAGUCUUUGGUCAAUCCACACCCAAUUAUUUCAACUUUACAACUUUCUUUGAUUUUACUUUAAUAAUGCAUGAGGCACUGACUAGAAUCAAAGUAAUUGGCUUGAUAUUAUAUGGUUCAAACAUAAAGGACCCUUGAGAUCAACCAAUAGCCCGUAGUUUAGAGCCUCUUGAACUAGUAAUCUCAUGAUUCCCCCAAAAAAAUCUCUCUCAAUAGAUUGAGAUGGACUAUCCUCUACUGUCAAAUGCUGUGGUAUUGGUCCCAUUUAUUUGACUGUUCAAACAUAUCAAAUUAAGCAGUAAUCAGUAAAUUCAUCUCCAUAAACAUAGGAAUAUCUCAGGAUUUUAAGUGGAGUAAGUACGAUCGGCCCCCACCGGCUGAAAUCAAGGUACAAUUAGUACAAUUAGGGGUAAGAAGAUUCAAAUCUUCUGAAUUAGAACUUCAAAUCAAUUAGAUGUUAUGGAUUAAACCUCAAAUCAGAUGAGAAAUUAACUGAAAGUCUAAGAUGAAAGAAAACCUUCAAAUGCCUCACUUUGCAUUAUUUUUUCACUUUGCUGAUUUGUUUGAUUGUGCUUUUGGUGUUGCCUCAGCCACUACUUAUUACACAGAUCCAACACCUUGAUCUUUUAUAAAUCUGUGUAGGAAUCCAUAUCCGAUCUGUAACCCAUUAGACUCUUUCUUUUUUAGAUAAUGGGUCUUUCAUGGACCCAUCCAUAGGAAAUGUAAAUUUGUUGUCAAAAGAUGGAUAUGUUUGCUUUGCUAUAUUAUGUAACCUUUCACAUGUCAUACUCAGACAGCAUUUUCUCUCUCUCUACCCAAGGAAAAAAAAACACCCAACAAAAGAUUAAGAGAGAAAUUAGUGGAUAUGUUAAUGGUGGUUAGUGAGGUUAAAAUUCUAUUCCAUCUCUCUCUCUCUCUCUCUCUCUCUCUCUCUGUUUUGUUAAUGGCAAUUGAGCCAUAUGGCAUUUUCUCUCUCUAAAAAGAUUUGCAGGUUGGUGGAAGCUGAGCAAAGAAAUUCAGAUUCUAUUACGUGGGAGGGUUGGAUAAUGCAUCCUCCUUCUACGCUUUGUACUUGACAGGUUAUUCCAUGGGAAGGGAAUAUAAUCCUCUGAUUAUUUUCUUUUUCUUUCUUACCAAACAAACAGAUGUUGGGAUUUUCUUCUAUAAUAUUCACUUGAUAGCCAUUGGGGAAAAAAGAAGAAAAAAGAAAUGCUCUUUUGGGUAAUUUCCAUGUCUCUUAUUUGGUGGUUUCUUCUUCCCCUCAAGUUGUCAUUCCUAUGACAUUUCUUAAUCAAAUUGUAUUUCUUAUU